rnacentral:rRNA from 1 species
UACGUAGGGUGCGAGCGUUGUCCGGAAUUAUUGGGCGUAAAGGGCUCGUAGGCGGUGUGUCGCGUCGGCCGUGAAAACCUGCAGCUUAACUGUGGGCUUGCGGUCGAUACGGGCAUCACUGGAGUUCGGCAGGGGAGACUGGAAUUCCUGGUGUAGCGGUGAAAUGCGCAGAUAUCAGGAGGAACACCGAUGGCGAAGGCAGGUCUCUGGGGCCACUACUGACGCUGAGAAGCGAAAGCUGGGGGAGCGAACAGG